UAUAAACGCUGACAGAAUACUUAACACAUGCAAGUCGAUGAUGGGAAGCUAAGCCUAGCUUAGAAGAAGUCAUGGCGGACGGGUGAGUAACGUGUAAAGAACUUGCCCUCUAGACUGAGAUAACAGAUAGAAAUGUCUGAUAAUACCGGAUAUUAUGGUUUUUCGCAUGGAGGAAUCAUGAAAGCUGGAUGCGCUAAGAGAGAGCUUUGCGUCCCAUUAGCUAGUUGGUGAGGUAACGGCCCACCAAGGCAAUGAUGGGUAGCCGGCCUGAGAGGGUGAACGGCCACAAGGGGACUGAGACACGGCCCUU
rnacentral:rRNA from 1 species